rnacentral:rRNA from 1 species
CCCCCCCUUUUAGUGCUGCAGCAAACCGCAUUAACCAUUCCCCUUGGGGAGUACGGUCGCAAGAUUGAAAUUCAAAGGAAUAAACGGGGGCCCCGCCCAAGCGGUGGAGCAUGUGGUUGAAUUCGAAGCAACGCGAAGAACCUUCCCAGGUCUUGACAUCUUCUGACAACCCUAGAGAUAGGGCUUCCCCUUCGGGGGCAGAGUGACAGGUGGCGCAUGGUUGUCGUCAGCUAGUGUCGUGAGAUGUUGGGUUAAGACCCGCAACGAGCGCAACCCUUGAUUUUAGUUGCCAGCAUUCAGUUGGGCACUCUAAGGUGACUGCCGGUGACAAACCGGAGGAAGGUGGGGAUGACGUCAAAUCAUCAUGCCCCUUAUGACCUGGGCUACACACGUGCUACAAUGGGCAGAACAAAGGGCAGCGAAGCCGCGAGGCUAAGCCAAUCCCACAAAUCUGUUCUCAGUUCGGAUCGCAGUCUGCAACUCGACUGCGUGAAGCUGGAAUCGCUAGUAAUCGCGGAUCAGCAUGCCGCGGUGAAUACGUUCCCGGGCCUUGUACACACCGCCCGUCACACCACGAGAGUUUGUAACACCCGAAGUCGGUGAGGUAACCUUUGGAGCCAGCCCCUUGAUUAGAGU